rnacentral:rRNA from 1 species
CCUACGGGCGGCAGCAGUGGGGAAUAUUGGACAAUGGGCGAAAGCCUGAUCCAGCCAUGCCGCGUGUGUGAAGAAGGCCUUCGGGUUGUAAAGCACUUUCAGUGGGGAAGAAAGCCUUGGGGCUAAUACCCUCGAGGAAGGACAUCACCCACAGAAGAAGCACCGGCUAACUCCGUGCCAGCAGCCGCGGUAAUACGGAGGGUGCGAGCGUUAAUCGGAAUUACUGGGCGUAAAGCGCGCGUAGGCGGUCUGAUAAGCCGGUUGUGAAAGCCCCGGGCUCAACCUGGGAACGGCAUCCGGAACUGUCAGGCUAGAGUGCAGGAGAGGAAGGUAGAAUUCCCGGUGUAGCGGUGAAAUGCGUAGAGAUCGGGAGGAAUACCAGUGGCGAAGGCGGCCUUCUGGACUGACACUGGCGCUGAGGUGCGAAAGCGUGGGUAGCAAACAGGAUUAGAUACCCCAGUAGUC